GCAGAGUAGAAUUUAAAGCGUUAAGUGCCCGUUGUACAGGGAGUUGACAACGGGACGAAAAAAGUCUAACUUUAGCUCCGGCUUUUGCGGUUUUAGAUUCGCAUCCCGCUGC
rnacentral:ncRNA from 1 species